rnacentral:lncRNA from 1 species
CGAAUACUCCCUCCACGCAGAUCUUUUUCUAGAGCAAUUAAUUAUGCAUACGUAUUCACAGUAUCUUCACCAGAAGUAAAUUCCAUCUCAAGAAACCACUUUCUUUGCUCAUCCACAAGAAGCAACUCUUCAUCAUUCAAGUUUGAUCAUGAGAUUGUAGCAGUUCAGCCACAUCUUCAGGCUCCGCUUCUAAUUCGAGUUCUCUUGCUAUUUCCACCACAUCUGCAGUUACUUCCUCCACUGAAGCCUUGAAUGCCUCAAAGUCAUUCCAAGGGUUGGAAUCCACUUCUUUCAAACUCCUGUUAAUGUGGAUAUUUUGACCUCCUCCCAUGAAUC